rnacentral:rRNA from 1 species
CCUACGGGAGGCAGCAGUGGGGAAUUUUGGACAAUGGGCGAAAGCCUGAUCCAGCCAUUCCGCGUGAGUGAAGAAGGCCUUCGGGUUGUAAAGCUCUUUCGCAAGGGAAGAAAACUUAGAUACUAAUAUUAUCUGAGGUUGACGGUACCUUGAUAAGAAGCACCGGCUAACUACGUGCCAGCAGCCGCGGUAAUACGUAGGGUGCGAGCGUUAAUCGGAAUUACUGGGCGUAAAGCGUGCGCAGGCGGUUUUGUAAGUCAGAUGUGAAAUCCCCGAGCUCAACUUGGGAACUGCGUUUGAAACUACAAGACUAGAAUAUGUCAGAGGGGGGUAGAAUUCCACGUGUAGCAGUGAAAUGCGUAGAGAUGUGGAGGAAUACCAAUGGCGAAGGCAGCCCCCUGGGAUAAUAUUGACGCUCAUGCACGAAAGCGUGGGGAGCAAACAGGAUUAGAUACCCUGGUAGUCCACGCCCUAAACGAUGUCUACUAGUUGUUGGUGGAGUAAAAUCCAUGAGUAACCGCAGCUACGCGUGAGUAGACCGCCGCGGGAGGUACGGUCGCGAGAAGUAAAACUAACAAAGAAAGUAGACGGCGUGAGACGUGACCGAACGGACGACGACGAGGGAGGAGG